UACGGAGGGAGCUAGCGUUGUUCGGAAUUACUGGGCGUAAAGCGCACGUAGGCGGUUUUGUAAGUUAGAGGUGAAAGCCCGGGGCUCAACUCCGGAAUUGCCUUUAAGACUGCAUCGCUAGAAUUGUGGAGAGGUAAGUGGAAUUCCGAGUGUAGAGGUGAAAUUCGUAGAUAUUCGGAAGAACACCAGUGGCGAAGGCGACUUACUGGACACAUAUUGACGCUGAGGUGGCGAAAGCGUGGGGAGCAAACAGG
rnacentral:rRNA from 1 species